rnacentral:rRNA from 1 species
AUACGGAGGAUCCGAGCGUUAUCCGGAUUUAUUGGGUUUAAAGGGAGCGUAGGUGGAUUGUUAAGUCAGUUGUGAAAGUUUGCGGCUCAACCGUAAAAUUGCAGUUGAAACUGGGAGUCUUGAGUACAGUAGAGGUGGGCGGAAUUCGUGGUGUAGCGGUGAAAUGCUUAGAUAUCACGAAGAACUCCGAUUGCGAAGGCAGCUCACUAGACUGUUACUGACACUGAUGCUCGAAAGUGUGGGUAUC